CUGCCACCACCUUACAGUCUCCAAUUUAUUUUAGCUUGCAUCUCUGACAAAGAAUGUCAUUCACCUGUGUGCACCUUCCUCCACUCUUAUAUGUGACCCUGUGCUCCUCCCAUGUCUUAAAGUAGAUAUUCACUGGGGUUGUCCCAUCUUA